rnacentral:lncRNA from 13 species
GUUGCAUGGAAAUUAAUGUUUCCAACUAAGUAGCAAAAAAAAUAAUAGCAGAAAUGCCUCAAAAAGGUGCUAAAAACAAAAAUACAUUUUUUUUAAACAUGCCAAACAAUAAUUCUCUGAUGCCGUCUGCUUAAAUAUAUUAAGAGAGCCAAUAACCAUUUAGUUGCUGAACCAAUUCUGGAAUUGGCCUGAUGUUACCCUCUUUUUAUAUAAAAAUCAAUGCCGUUAUUAUUUAACCUUUAUAGUUAAUUCUUAUGCUGGCAGUUGUAAAUAAUUGACUUCAACUUUGUGUAUAAAUCACCAUUUGAUAAUACCAGAUAUUAGUAAUGCUGAGGGGAAAGUACAUUUUUCUACAGGCUGAGUACACAGGCAGUCAGAAACAUCAUUCAACUUGAGGAAAAGAACUGAACUAACCCAACUGAUGAGUUUGAGAGAAAAAACUGCACACAUGCAGCAUACGUAUGCUGGAAUUUUAUCUUGCCAAGUAUUGCCUUAUGUUGCUACUUAUUUACGGCUGCAUGAAAUCCUUUUCCACAAAUGCAUCACAUGGUGUUCUGUGGUUUUCUUCUAUAUUGCAGCAGAUAAAAGAUAUGGCUCUCUGGAGAAAAGAUAAAUGACAAAGUGGCUCACAUUGGUAAUCCCAGCAAUUCCGCCAGCUGAGUGGGAGGAUCCCUUGAGCCCUGGAGUUCCAGUCCACAGUGAGCGAUAAUUGCUAUAAUCAUGUCACUGCAUUCCAGCCUGGAUGACAGACCAAGACCCAUCUCUUUAAAAAAAAAAAAAAGGAAAGAAAGAAAAGAAAAGAAUGUAUAGAACAUUUAUUUUUUAUUUAGGACCAACCAUUGUUUCAUCUCUUAAAGACCUAAAUAGUAACAAUUCUAUUAAGAAGCUGGGAUUGGAAGAAUAAAUUGCAUGAAUCUAUUUGGAGAAUUAACA